UACGAAGGUGGCGACCGUUGUUCGGAAUCACUGGGCAUAAAGAGCUCGUAGGCGGUGAGAAAAGUCGGGUGUGAAAUCCCUCGGCCCAACCGAGGAACUGCGCUCUAAACUGUCUUGCUUGAGGACCGAAGGGGACCACGGAAUUCCUGGUGGAGCGGUGAAAUGCGUUGAUAUCAGGAGGAACACCGGCGGCGAAGGCGGUGGUCUGGUCGGUUUCUGACGCUGAGGAGCGAAAGCUAGGGGAGCAAACGGG
rnacentral:rRNA from 1 species